AAAAGAGUCAGAGAAGGAGCGUGGGGGAUGUGGCUCUGUCCAUAGAGUGCUUGCUUGCCCAGCACGCAUGGCGUUCUGAGUUUGAUUCCUAGGACUGCCUAAAUGGUGAUCAGCUGUGGAGCUCAGACAUAAGCCCGUUAGAGCAUGCAACGUGGUCACGUGACACGGUUUGGACCAAUGAGAUGGGGAGAGCUGUUUAUUGUGGGUUCCUGGAUCUGGUUGACCUGAAGAACUCCUUUGCUUCCUCUGACGUGAUCUGACUUGACAUCGCCAAGACUUCAUCAGCUGCCCCCUCACCAACCCCACAACCCCAGCGUGGAACUGACCCCUAAGUUGACCUCUUAUACCUCGCU
rnacentral:lncRNA from 1 species